rnacentral:rRNA from 1 species
AACGAACGCUGGCGGCAUGCCUAACACAUGCAAGUCGAACGAGACCUUCGGGUCUAGUGGCGCACGGGUGCGUAACGCGUGGGAACCUGCCCUUAGGUUCGGAAUAACUCCCCGAAAGGGGUGCUAAUACCGGAUAAUGUCUUCGGACCAAAGAUUUAUCGCCUUUGGAUGGGCCCGCGUUGGAUUAGCUAGUUGGGAGGGUAAAAGCCUACCAAGGCGGCGAUCCAUAGCUGGUCUGAGAGGAGGAUCAGCCACACUGGAACUGAGACACGGCCCAGACUCCUACGGGGGGCAGCGGUGGGGGAUACUGGACAAUGGGCGAAGGCGUGAUUAUGGCAUGAGGCGUGUGUGAAGAAGGCCUUCGGACUGUGAAGGACUUGAAGUUGGGAGGAUGGGAAGUCAUUUUACCCCGUGAUGUUAUGACGUUACCAAGAGAAUAAGCCCCGGCUAACUUCGUU